rnacentral:rRNA from 1 species
UACGUAGGGGGCAAGCGUUGUCCGGAAUCAUUGGGCGUAAAGCGCGCGUAGGCGGCCCGAUCAGUCCGCUGUAAAAGUCCAGGGCUCAACCCUGGAAAGCCGGUGGAUACUGUCGGGCUAGAGUCCGGGAGAGGCGAGUGGAAUUCCUGGUGUAGCGGUGGAAUGCGCAGAUAUCAGGAGGAACACCAAUAGCGAAGGCAGCUCGCUGGGACGGUAUUGACGCUAAGGCGCGAAAGCGUGGGGAGCGAACAGG